AAGUGCCUUUCUGCCAAACAGAAAAGAAGGAUUAAUGUUGAGCUGAAGCUAAAAACUGUUGUACAAUAGAUGAGCUGCUGUGCGAGGCUGAGCGAGCC
rnacentral:lncRNA from 12 species